rnacentral:lncRNA from 1 species
AAUUUUUUUUUUUUUAUUUCCUCAAAUGUACUUCUUGUUUCAAAUUUUCCUCAAAUGUACUUCUUGUUUCAAAUUUUUUUUUUUUUAAAUCUCACUUAGAAUUUGUUUCUGUUCUUUGAGGGCUAGUAUAGAUAUGACUGACUCUGAUUUUUGUGACAACUUAUUCUCCAUUUAUUUUGGUAAAUCUCCAUUCUGAUCAUACAGCCUCGUCAGUUUCUUAUCAAAAUAAUUAAAACAUUUUUAACUGCUACCACCAGACUAUCUAAUUAAGUUUUUCCUACCACCAAUUUAAAACUAUCAGAAUACCAUAUUAGUUGUUUAACAUGUAAGUUCCUGCAGACGCCCGUGAGAAUGAAACAACAAUAUCUGUUACGAAUAAUUACCUGCUUACGACACGACUCACUGAUGGUUGAAUAAAUACAUGAACCCUGUAAAGGAAAGCAAUAACUUUUCCAAGUUAAAAACUACAGCACUUAUAUCAAAAUACAGAUAUAAAUUUCUGUAAACUGCCGUCCUAGAGUGUAUAUAUUUGAUCAAUACAUUGUUUAAGUUAAGUACACAAAGCCAUAAAGUAGCAAGAGCAAAUAGAACAGUUAAAAUCUUGGACUGAAGUAUAUAUACUCGGUUUUGUUGUCAUUGCUGCCAUAAAUAUUAAACAAGAAAUUGGUAUUGAAAGUAAAAAGAAUCAUUAGAAUAUGAAAAAUGCAACCAGAAGUUUAGGAAAGGUUCCACAAAGAAAUACUACAAAAUCGUUCCUUUAUAUUUUGUUUAGCAAAGUGGAUGCACUUCAUUUACAGAGUUAUUAAAUACAUAAAUAGUCUGUUCAAGUCUUUGAACCGAGACAUACAAUUUCUAAUACACAUAGGAAAUGAGAAACCCAAUAGAGCCCAGCGUUAACAGUUGAACAUUCAUAGUCUUGCAAAUACGGUGCAUUUCACAAAUUAAAGGAACUGCUGCAUUAGUGCCUAAAUGACCAUAAACGCCUAAGACAAACCACUGUUCGCAAAUACUAGAUCACUAAAUUUCAAAAAAAUUAAAGAUAAUCUUAAGGCAUAUUUAGGAUUGACUCCCCACAGUAAGAUGAAAAAUGGGAAUUGGCUUUUGCCUGUUUUUCUUUGUGUUAAUUAUUUUGCAAACUACAAUUUAUACUACAAAAUUACUCUUGAAGAGUCAGAGAGAGAGAGAGAGAGAGAGAGAGAACAAAAAAUAAAAAUAUUUCUUUUGAAUCAUCAUUGUAGUCUUCAUGGCAAACAAUCAAAGAGCCACUUGAAACUUUGAAUUCCCUUUCAGAGAAGUAACUUGAAUCCUAGUAUUGACAUCUUUGCUUUCUGUUCUUACACCAAAUCCAACAUCUAUGAUGAAGCCAAGAUUUCUUCUCAACAAAAGGUUGCAUGUCAUAUUAGCAAAUUGUAAGUGAUGUGUAUUGUCACACAUAAAUGAUUUUAUCAGAUUUGAACAUUAUCAAAUUUCAUAAAAUUCUAUGGCAGUAAUAAUUUAUGUUCUUUAUUUAUCAAAUAUAUCAUGUUUAUGACUCAAAACAUUAUAUCGAUAAUCAUGUCUAUUAUGAUUCCCCUCAGAUAUGCAAUUUUCCAUGAUCCACAAGACAUGCAUUGUCAAGAUGAUUGCUUGGCCUAAUGAAGUUAAUACGUUAACUAUAUACUGUCUUCAUAAAAGACAUCCAUUUCAUAAAGAUUUUAGCAAAAGAAUACUCUGAAAAAUCACAGAAAAUCAUUGGACGCUCAUCUGUAUGAUUCAAUAAUUAAAACUAGAAGAAAAAAUGAAAAGACUACUCCUAGAUUUUAGCUAUCCAUAUUAUAUGAUGCUACUAAUUGACUGUGAAACAGACUUACUUGGCUAUCUGACGCAGAGACCGUAAGGCAGGUGCAUAGAGGUCAUUACAAAUGCAAAUAACCUACAUGAGCUUCAGUCAUUAUAAUACUCAAAAAGUUAUCAUCAGUAUACAUCAUUUAUGAAAAUUUCAAACUCACAGGUCUUAACAGUGAUGCUUUUUUACGCCCCUUUUUUUUGGAUAUUUUUUCUGAUUGAUCUUCUUUAGCAACAUUUUCCUUCGCGGUGUUGGACUUUCUUUCAGCAGAAACCUAAACAAAAAGUGUUAAUUGAUUUCGACAGAUGAUAAAACUAAUUAGAAUCAAUUAUUAAUCACAGAGCAAAGAUCAACAUGGUAUAAUUUUUGACGAAGGAGCACAGCUCAAUCUUACUUAGAAAAACAUUACUAUCAGAAUUUAAGAACAGAAAAUACAAACAUAUUAAAACAUAUGUAUCUAUAUUAUACUAUAUCUAUUAUGCAGUGCCAUUCCAAAUCUUCUAGAAAGUCUAGAACAUAUCUUCACAAUUUUCAAGACGGGUGUAUGUUAAGAACUUGAUCAAAUGAUCAAUGCGAGAGUGGGCAUUACUUAAUCCUACCAUCAGGGGCACUCCGAAAGAUAAGGUUAGGCUCUGAAACAUGUAAUAAGCAUUAUGGAGAGUCGAUGAUACUUCUAAUUUCCAUUAAUAGGCAUCAGCUUGUUAGACACCUUUUAGUGGUAGGAUUUCUUAACAAUGAUUGAAUAUAUAAGAAACCAUUGAGUCUAGUUAGUACUCAAAGAAUAACAUACCAGCACCAUUGUUGGAAAAGUUACCAUAGGUAGAUGGGAAAAUUAAUUGAAUAUCAUCAAAGACUAAAUGGAUGCCCCUAGUGUGCAUCACAAAUAAAUAAGAUAACAAAAGUAGAAAAACAAGAAAAAUACCAUCUUUAAGAUAACUUCCACCGCACCCUUGCCAUCACCAAGAGCUCCAUCUAUUUCAUCAAUCACCUAUUCAGAAUCAAGUAAGUGUGUAUCCAGACCCGUACUGAAUAACCAAGAGACAAUUGAAGGAAAAUAAAACCAACCAGACACUUGGGCCUUGAGUCAGCCAUGACAGAGUUCAUCUGAACUACAUCAAGGAUUUUGUUUUCAAUAGUAGACGAUGACCGAUCAUCACUAGCAUUAACCUACAUAAAAACAACAAGCUAAAAUAAAAUGCAAGGGUACCUGAAGUCACAAAAAGGGAAAUGAAAGAAUAAAGUAUAUCAACAUAAAUCCAAUUAUACAUAUAAAGGUAGAGGGUUAGAAUAAUCUGUUCCAGCAUCCUAUUUCAAACUAAUAUUCACAAUAAAAUCAUAAUAUCUUAUGGUAGCUACAAAAAUACCUACUACAAUGAAGAAUCUAUAGAAUAUUAACAGAACAAUACCUCAUCGGAAGUUUAGGGUUAAAAUUGAGCCUUGCAACUACAAGCAAUAUUUUUGGUCUACUUACCCCCUUCCUUCUUUUUUUCUGAAUAAAAAUUAGACCCUUAAACAAGCACUCUUUUCCACACAUCUAAAUUCAAUAAUUCCCAAUUCCCAAUUGGUCGCAACAAUAACAGACAGGCAAAGAAAGUUAUUAACAAAGUCAUUGCAAAUGAAAAACCAUAAAGCUGCAAGCUAGCUGUUAAUUGUGUUUGUUGAGUAAAAGUAGAUGAAGAAACCUCCACAACAUGGUAACCACAGUGCUUAGCAGCCACAUGCGCAAGUGUAGUCUUUCCAAGUCCAGGUGGACCACAAAGUAGAAGAACCUGCAAUGACCAAAGAUUGAGUUAAUAAUUAAAUCUGAGAUGACCAAGGAUUGAGUUAAUAAUUAAAUUCGCUCCUAAAGGCUGACAAAGGAACAAAUAUAAUGAGUAUGAUACAAAAAAGGCUGAUAAGGCAGGAGCAAAUGUAAUAAUAUGCAACAAAAAUUUAAAUGCUUUUAGUCAAACAAUCUAAAAAAAUCCCAAAGAAAACUAAAUAAGUAAACCAAACCCCUAAAUGCUAGCAUAAACAUGCUUAUGGAUGUGUGAUAUUCAAGCCUCCAACAGGAGAAGAUAUUACGUACAUACAUUCAGAUAAGCAGAUAUUUUUAAAAAGUGGACAGAGUUAAAAGGAAAGAAAAACACAAGCAAACAAUGUUUUUUUUUUCUUUUUUGGUCUUUUAGCGCAUCAGAAUUCAUCAUUUUUUGUCUUUUGGCUACAUCUGCAUUUUAAAAAGAUGCAGAUGUCCACAUUAGAUAAGAACUGUGUAAAUAUUAUUUUGACAGUAAUCCACUUCCUUCCCCCAUAUGAGCAGGGUACUCAAAUUUCUUGUACCACCACAAGAGAUUUUACCACGAGCAAAAAUCUAAAUAUCAUGCACAAGGAACACAUACCUUUUUCUAUUUGUAAUGCCACAGUAAAUUAGUAAACCUAAGAACUUAAGUUCGAUUGAGGAAUCAUCAACUUUUACAUCAUUAAUACUUAGUGUCUUUGAAGCAAUUGAACUGAAGCUACUGUGACUGAGGAAAAGAAACUAGAAAUCCAGUACAUUGCGGUACUUAUACAUAUAAAGAAACUGUGUUAUAUGUUACUAUUUGGAUACAUACAGCUGCAGGGGAAAGAACCUCUAUGCGUAUGUGUAGUGGUACUCUUUUAUACACUAAGAUAUUACUUUGUUUGUUAUCAAAACAUAUUGCAUCAAACCAUGCAAUUCAUGAUAGAACUUUUUAAUAGAUAGAAUAAAUGAGGAUUGCCAUAUGUAAUGUAUAAUAUAGGUGUUCUAAAAACUAAAUAGAGUGAAUGAGAAGAUUAGUGAUGCAUAAGUACUAAAGUCCAUGAUCUUCCACCUCAACUGACAGAAGCUCAUUGAAAUGAAAUUCAGUUAACAAGCUAACCAUUCCAACUUUAAGCAAACUGCAUGAAGAAUGUAAUGUAAUUGAUGCAAUCCACUAUGACAGAGGCACUACAAGAUAUUUAUCAACUCAAAAAAAAAAAAAAAGAUUUCUCAGAAUUAUAGCUGACCUUUUGUUCUGGGGGACCGGUGGACCGGGUUUUCUUAUGCCAUGAGUCCUGAAUGCCCUUUGAAUUACUAUUUUCAUACUCCAAAUUAUUAGAAUUUCUGAAAUUUCCAUUACUCCAUCUAUUUCCUCUGUUCUUCCUUGUAAAACUAGAAUCAUUUUGUUUUUUGUUUUGAGAAAUAGUAGAAUGUCGUCUUAAAGCAGACAGAACCUCCUCUGAUGUGCUCCUAAUUUCAGAUCCAAAUACACAGGAAUCCCAUUGUUUCAACCACAGGAGAACCUAGAGUAAGACAACUAUCUAAGGAUGAGUAAUGACAACAAAAUUAAAAAGAAAUUGCAAACUCAAAUAAUUAUAUGUUUUCAGUUUCAUAGGAUUUUUAGAAAAUAAAUCUACAUACCUCACGAUUUGUCUGUUCAUCACUGAGAAGCUCUGUAAAUGAAUUUGGAGCAUAUUUGUCCACCCAAAGUUGUUCAUGCACCACUGGUUUCUCAGGAAGACUUCUGUCGCUCUGACCUUCAGAACUAGAAUUCAAGGCCUUCAGUAGCACAAAAAGGAAUUAUAAACAUUCCAAUUCACAGGAUGUAUUAAACAAAUAAAAUAAUGAAUCCUUGAUGGUAACAAGUAACAUAACAUUUUGCCAUACCGUAUUCAUAAAGGGGGAAAAAAAAAGGGAGACCACAGAAAACUUAUGGGAAGAAAACCUUGGUUCACUUCAUUUACUAGACGGUUAAGCAUUUGUCCCUCCAAGGGUCUCCCACUCAAAGGAUUAGCGACACCAAUGGACCAGUAUGGUGCCAUCAAGCCUCAGUUCCAGUUAGGUUUAUUAGGCAUUCUUAAAACUCAAUUCAUAAGUCAAUAGACACCUGAUAGUGAACGGUUGAUUAGAUUGUGUAUCAGAAGCACAGACAAGGUUGACACAUAUGUGGGCUGCAUUAUCAAAACAGCAGCAUAGAUUCAAACAGAAUUUCAAUUGAUCAAAGUGAAACAAGAAUGAUUAUUUUAGUUGCUUUCAUAGUCACAGCCAAUUUCAACUACAGUCCCUAAAUUUCUCAAAUAAAUAUGACUCCAGCUGGAACCAAGUUCAUCCUUAUGCAUUUGUUUUAUUUCUCAAUGCUAGCCCCCAGCCCGCACAGACAUAUAUAUUCAAAAAUACAUGCUACAAUCAUGCGCACGCACGCAUACAUAUUCAUAUGAUAAUUCCAAUUACAAAAGAAAAUUUUUGAAAAAAAUUGUUUCCAGGAAUGCACACCUUGUUGAAAGCCUCUUGCUCCACCUUUUGCAAUAGAACAUCAAUUGGUUCAGAAGUAAGAGCUGCAGAGUAGAUCAACCACCAAAAUGUUAACUGUAAUGAAAUACAAUUGAUAUUUAUAUUUUAAUUAUAAAAAAGAAAGAAAGAAAGGAAAUGUCAAGGGUACAAUUUGAGUGCGCUCUGACGUCCAAUUUUUUCACUCUCUCCUCAACUCCAGAACUAGAAAUCUUCACAUAAACCCUAUCGCCACCACUUGGCGCCGUUACCGGCAGGCAAUCCCCGUCAAUCUCGGAGGCGUACCUCGACACAAACUUCUCCUCCACUUCAACUCUCGCAUCAUCUCUGGCCUGCGGUGGCGGAGGCGAGUAGCGGAGCCAAUCCUCAUCGUCGUUAUCGACAAUUCGGCUUCUCUUCUCAUCGAAUUGGGGUUCGUCCACGUCAAUUGGGGAUUUAGGAGUAUCGGAUCGGGGACGCUUGUGGCCGUUGAUCUCGAGAGGAAGUGAAUCUGGUGGGACCGGUUCGGGCGGGUCGGGGUCUUGUUCGGGUGGGUCGAGGUCUUGGUAGUUGGCUUCAAGCAGUUCCAGUUCUUCUGGGAGAGGAAUGUGCAUAUCCAUGUCCAUGUCCAUUUGGUUUAGCGGGUUUUUUAGGGUUUGUUAGGUGAAUUGUGAUUUGUGAAUGUGAUAAAAAUUUAUGAGAGAGAUGAAAUGGAGGUGGAGGUGGAGGUUGUUUUUGGCGGGAAAGUUGGGGAGUAGAGCAUUGGCCUUUAAUGGUUUUACAAAAUUACCCUUUAGUAGAUUUGCUGUGUGGAGUUAGCCCGUUUCUUGUAUACGUAGUACAGAAGUACCUGUGCUCCCACGGCUCAAUCCUUAUGUUUCACACAAAACACCAAUAAUAAUAGGGUGUGUUUGGCACACUGUAUUGUAUUAUAUUGUAUUGUAUUAUUUUAAUAUUAGUGUAUUGUAUUAUAUUAUAUUGUAUUAGCAUUGUAUUAUAAUAAUACUGUACAAUAUUUGGUGCUACACUCUAUUAUUAUUAUUAUUAUUAUUAUUAUUAUUAUUAUUAUUAUUAUUAUUAUUAUUAUUAUUAUUAUUAUUAUUAUUAUUAUUAUUAUUAUUAUUAUUAUUAUUAUUAUUAUUAUUAUUAUUAUUAUUAUUAUUAUUAUUAUUAUUAUUAUAGAAAAAGGAAAAGUCAAAAGAAAAGGAAAAAUCAAAAGAAAAAGAAAAAAAAAAGUAAAGCUAAUGCGUCAGUUGACGCAUUAGCUCACACCCUUAUCCCAAUGCAAUUCCUUUCCAAACAUAGCCUUGAUAUUAUAUUAAUGUAAACAGUGUUAUAAUACACCAUAAUCACAUGCACCAAACACACCCAUAGUAUAUAACAUUGGGUAGAAUUCAUCCGUAACGAUCAGCUAGUAGGGAGAGGUAUUUAAAAAAAAAAAGCAAACUUUCAUUAGUUAAGCGAAAAGGUACAACAAAUGAAGUGGGCAUGUGCCAUCCACUGGAUAUCAGAGGCGGAUACAGUGCAGGACCAGCAGGGCUCAAGCCCCCAUUGAAAAAAAAAAUUACCCCUUUUUGUUUAAAAGAAAAAAUAAUAAAUUUUUAAAUAAUGCCUAUCAAUUUAUCAAAUAGUCUCGUUCUUUCAGUUUUUAAAGCUUUAGAGAGAGCAUUUUCAGUAAUGAAAUUUGUGAAGAAUGAACUUCGGCAUUAGAUAGGAGAUGAAUGGAUGAAUGAUAAUUUGAUUGUUUAUAUAGAAAAAUAUGUAUUUAAUAGUUGAUAAUGAGUCAGAAUAUGAAAUCGCGUAGAAAACAAUUGUAAAUGUGUUAUAAAAAAUUUUAUAUAUCCAAAUUUCAGUUUUUACAUUUUGUUGUUAUUUUAUUUAAACUCCGGUAAAUUAUUUUUCUAGAUCCGCCACUGCUGGACAUGUUCAUUAACCUUUAGAGCCAUCUUGGCCAAGUCAUGCGCUACACCAUUACAUAUCGGCAAAAUAAACUGCACCUUAAUAUCUUUAAACCUUUGCAUUUAGUUUUGAAUUUAUGAGAUAAUCCAUGAGAGUUCUAAGUUUCUUAUAAUCAUUCUCGAAAUUUGAUUAACCACCUCUGCACUAUCACUCUCGAUUAUCAAUUACCAUAUUGUAGUUGCUUCUGCUACUUCCAUUCCCAAGUAUAUUGCUUCAGCUUCUGCAUAUACUAUGUUAUCAUGGAACUUGGACGUUUUUAUAGCACCAGCAACAAAAUCUCCAUUUGAGUCUCUAAUUAUGAUUCCAAGUCCUACUUUCUGCUCUUGCAUUCAGAUUGCAGCAUCCGUAUUAACUUUAAAACGCCCUUCAGGAGGAGUUUCCAUAUUUGCUCUCUGUUGGACUUUUGUCUACCUAUAGUUUGCAUAUGGGGAGCUUUGUUUUUUCUGUAGACUUCAACUAUUGCUAGGGGUGGGCAUCAGAUAGGAUUCGGAUUUGAAGGCAAAUCCAAUUGGAUGAAAUUUAUGUGAUUCAAUCGGAUUUGGUUCGGAUCGGAUCGGAUUCGGAUCAAUUUGAAUCAUCCGAUUGGAUCUGCACUAUAAACCAAAAAAAACUGAAAAUUAAAAAAAUAAGCUAAAGCUAAAGUGAGUGCUAAACUACUAACUCUAACUCUCUAAGGACUAAGCCUAAUUCACCACUCACCAGUUCACAAAUCACAGUGUUCACUCACUCUCAUAUCUUAGUCACAGCCAAAUACCAAGAACCAACUCAAACUGUCAAACAUUAACAAAAGACACAGCUACUCAGCGAGCAGCCAAGCAAAAGCAAGAUGCCAAAACCAGCUUCAUCCCGUCAUCCAUCUUGAACCCAUUAACCCACCGGCGACCCGUGAGUCCAACGACCACGCCAAAACUCAGCUACCGCCAGCUCGCCGACACCAAUCGACUGGAAACUAGCCGAUUUCAAGUGAAACCUAGGCGAACAGAACCUAGUUAAUCGACCUAAACCCAGCUGACAGCUGCCUCUUCAACCAAUAAUCAUGUCCAGCCGGCCAGUUGCCAUGCCAAACAUCGAUAGUCCACUUCCACUAUUCCCGAGCAUCUAGCAACUUUAUUCAUGGUAAGCAAUUAAACCCAACCCAUGACAAUUGAAAGUUGAAACCUAGAAUUUCAUGCUUCUUUUAGUUGCUUGGAAAAUGCCCCCAAACAGUUUGGGCCAAACCCGAGAGCAAGCGGCUAGCCGCUUGGAAACUACCCCCAAUCAGCCGCUUGGUCACGGAUUUAAGGGUUUUUCUUCCCCUUUCUCUUGCUUUCUUCAACCUCUCUUCAUUCUCUCUCAAGGCCUAACACAUCUAUAUCUAUGCGAUUUGUUUGAAACUUGGAAAUUAAAAAAUUUAUUAUUCUUGAAUUGUUCUAUUUUUUCCUUUUAUUUUUUCUAAUGUAUGAUUAUUCAUUUGUAACAUUAGUUGAGAAAGAUAUGAAUAUGUAUUGAUGUAUACCUAUAAAAUAUAAAUAUAUAUUGUCUUUUGAGAAAGACAACAAAAGAUGAAUUUAUUUGUUCAUGUAUUGAAACUUUGAAAUAUACGAUUUGUUCAUAUUUUCAUUCUCUCCAGUCUCCACAAUUGAAAUUUUUUCUUUUAAUUUUUUCAUUAUUUCAUUUUCAUUAGCUGAAUUUUAUUAAUUAUUAAUAAACUAAGAAACAAUAUCGUUUCAUCAAAAUUAAAAAUUCAAAUUUAUUAAUUAUUAAAUAAUCAUCGUUAUUUAAUGUAUGAUUAUUCAUUUGUAACAUUAGUUUAUUAAUUAUUAAUAAACUAAAGAACAAUAUCAAUUCUUUAAAACUAAAAAUUCAACUUCAUACCGUACGUUGUGGUAGUAGAAUUAUUUUAUGAUAAGUUAAUGUCAUUAAUUGCUUUAUUUCCAAAUAAUAAUUUGAUGAAUGAAUUUGUAUAGCUAGUAACCUAGGCUAAAGAGAUUAUAUAUAGUCAAAAGUUAUAUUUAUUUUUUAGUUGAAAAUUCAUAAACGGAAGUUACAAAACAAUGAUGAUUGAUAUGGUUUUUGUAUUUUCAAAUGAUUGGACAUUCAAAAUCAAAUUCCAAUGAUGAUGAUGAAGUUGAAAGUGUACAAGUACCCACUAAAAAGACAAAUACAAAGCGGAAGAAGCCAACUCAGAGACGACCAAUGAAGAAAAGAUCUGAGACAUGGAAUUAUUACACUGUACUUGAGGACAAUCAAUAUAAAGCAAAGUGCAACUAUUGUGGCAAGAUAUACCAGUGCCAUCCUAGGUUUGAUGGGAUUAGCAAUAUGGGAACUCACUUAAAAGUAUGUGAAGCAUACUUGAACGUGAAGCAAGAGCAAGAUGAAAGACAACAAAAAUUGGCAGCCGAGAGUGGUGAAGGAAAUGCAAGUAAUAUGGUUUUGGCCAAAGGAUGGAGUAAAGAAGCUUGUAGAAGAGCAGUCAGUAAAAUGAUUAUCUUGGGUGAGUUGCCGCUUAAUUUUGUUGACAACAAAGGGUUUAGGAAUUUUUGCAAUGUAGUUGUUCCUCAGUUUAUUUUGCCAUCUCGGAGAACUAUUAGUAGCGAUGUUAUGGAUAUGUUCUUGGAAGAAAAAUGAAUUUUGAAGAGUUUGAUAUGUAAGAAUAAGCAUAGAGUGUCUCUUACAACUGACAUAUAGACUUUAGUUCAAAAUAUGAGUUAUAUGGUAAUCACAGCUCACUUUAUUAAUAGUGAUUGGUGUUUACAUAGGAAGGUUAUCAGUUUCAGCGUGAUUGAAGACUAUAAAGGGAAGUCGAUUGGCAAAAAGAUUGAGCCUUGUUUGCUUGAAUGGGGAAUAGAGAGGGUGUGUGCAAUAAUUGUUGAUAAUGCGUCGGGCAUUGAUAUUGCUAUUGAUUAUGUGAAGAACCAAAUGCUUAUGUGGAAGAAUGUUGAUGCACUUGUGUUGCAGGGUGAUUACAUGCAUGUGCGUUGUUGUGCACAUAUCUUAAAUUUGAUUGUCACUGGGGGGUUAAAAGAGUUGCAUGCCUCAGUUGCCGGUACUCGGAAUGUUGUGAAGUAUGUGAGAUCAUCCACUUCAAGAUUGAAAGCAUUUAAAUAGUGUGUAGAUCAUGUGAAAGGCCCUAAUGGAACUGUGGUUUUGGAUUGUAUCACUAGGUGGAAUUCCACAUAUUUAAUGUUGAUGACUGCUUUGAAAUUUCGGGAGGCAUUUGAGAGAAUGGCAGAAGUGGAUAAACCGUAUGAAGCAUACUUUAGAUUGGAAGAAAACCUGAAAAAAAUGGUGGGGGCCACUUGAGCUUGAAGAUUGGGAACAUGCCGAAAGAAUUGUGAGGUUUUUAAAGAUUUUUAUGAUGCUACAUUGACUUUUUCAGCCUCUUUGAGUGUCACUUUUAAUCUUUGUUACGAUACAAUUGGCUUAAUCGAGAAUUCAUUGAGUGCAUUAGAAAAAAAGCAAAGAUGUUUAUGUGCAUUUGAUGGCUUCUAGUAUGAGGGAAAAAUAUGACAAAUAUUGGGAGUGCACGGAGAAAAUCAACAAAAUCUUGAUUAUUGCCUCAAUACUUGAUCCGCGUUGCAAAAUGGAUUUUUCUAAACAUAUUUUUAGUAUGAUUUUUUCAAUGAUAGUGUGAAGAUUGAAGAAAUGGUCGCGGUGAUGAAAGACUUGUUGAAUUCACUUUUUGAUGCAUAUAGUGGAUGGAACUCCUCACCACCAUUGCCUAGUGAGAGUUUUCCUAAUGGCAGCGCCAGUGGUGGCGGUGGCGAUUCUAGUUCUUUUCCGCACCUUGUAGAUGACACGGAUCGGCAACAAGGGUACAUAAUGGAACAUGGUGAUGAUACUUUACGAGUUGCUCACCCUUUUCUUGGAUAUGCUAAGAAAGUUUUAAUUCAAAACGAGGGUGAUAACUCUAUGAAAUGAGAGUUAUUAAUGCAAUUCUAGACUUAAAUCAAGACCACUUAGAAAGUAAAUGAUGUGUUUUUAUUAUAUUUUGGUUAUAUUUUGCAUAAACAUCCAUUUUAGUUGAGUCUUAAUAAAUUUUGCUUGAUUCAAAGUAAUUUGUGUUCAAAACAUGUGCAUAAUUGUAGGUUUUCAGAAGUUCAUAAUUCAUGAAGGGAUGCUGAGAUAUUAGGCUAGCAAGAAGAAGAAAGAAUAUGGCCACAAAAGAAGUGAAACACAACCGGGAACAAUGCAGUGUUAUAGCCAUUGCUGGAGCAACCAUUGCUGUAGCAAUCCUGGAACACCGAGGGAGAAAACUUAGCGCGGGUUAGCUACAGAAUUGUGAUCUGCAGUUUCCUAAUUUGACUCAUGUAUGCUCGAGACUUUUGUUACCCUAGUUUUCAGUUAUAAAAAGAGGCGCACAUCACAUAAAACGGCAGAAAGAAAUUAACAUUGAGGAAGAUCAAGAGAAAAAAAAAGAUCAAAAUUCAAGGGAACCGAUGCUGCAUCAUUGAAGAAUCCAGCAGAGUUAUUUGGAUUCACUAUCUAUCGUUCUUCACUUAUUCUUUCUUCACUCUUUGAUUAAACCAAUGUAUUUCGUGACCAAUAUAUUGUUGUUUGCUUUUCUCUUUCAAAAUAUGAACUAAACUUGAUUUUAGUUGAGUGACAAAUGAUCUAAUGCGUUCUUAACUGUUCUUAUGAGUUGCUAUGUCACUGCUGUAGCAUUUUACUCUAGUAGCUAUUAUUAUAACUGUUAUUUCGGUUGACUACUCAUUUAAUGGUUCAAGUUAAGAUAGAGCCGCAAAAUGGCAUGUCUUAAUGGAUAUUAUUAGAGUAAUACUUGAUCUUAAUUUAAGUUUUCUAGAUUAAGUUUAUCUUGAAUCUCAUAAGGGCCAUACUUGAAGUUAAGAUUUGUGAUAACUUAGACAUAGGUACUCACCUUAUAAGGUGGAGAGAAUGGAUGUUCAUAAUGCCAUGCCAUAGGUAGAAUAGCAAUUGGUCAUUGCUAAGAUACUUACAGGUAUGAGAAUUCCAAUAGACGAUAGUUGAGGAUGCAAAAUAAAUUCUGCCCAAUGCUAUAGAAAUUGUUGUAGCAACUGCUGUUAACUUGAUAAAAAUAGUCAGCCCAUAAAGAGAGUUUGAUCAUUCAACUACCUUAUUCUCAUUUGAUUCUUCGACACAUUUUUAUUUAAUUUAUUUCAUUACUGCAUUGUUUCAUUUUAUUCUCUCAUAAUUAUCAAUUUUAAUAGCAACCAACUUUACAUUUGUUCCUCUCGGAAUUAAGGUAGAUUGCACUAUUGUGAUUGCUGUAACAUUUAUAGUAACAUCAAUCCAUGUGGAGACGAUCUUAAAUAUUCAUCACUUUAUUACUUAUUGUGUACACUUGCACAUUGACAUCAAUAACAUUUGAUUAAAAAAAUAACCAACAGAGGGAAAGCUUGUCACAACCGAGGUGGAAAGAUACUUACUUGACUGAUUGAAGAUCCUAGUAAUGAUAAACUAAAUGUUUUAUUAUGGUGGAAGGUGAACGGGUUGAAGUACCGAUAUUGCAGAAAAUAGCAAGGGAUAUCCUUACAAUUCUGGUAUCCAUUGUGGCUUCGAAGUCCGCUUUUAGCACUGGGGGUUGUAUCAUUGACAAAUAUAGGAGUUCUUUAACUCCCACUAUGAUUGAAGCAUUGAUUUGCACUGAAAAUUUGUUGCAGUUUAAACUUUUUGCCACUCCCAUUUACAACCUUAAUCAAGAGUUGAAAGAUCAUAUAUAUCAAAUGGAGUUACAAGAAGGUAACUUUUUAUAUUACAUUUUAUAUAUAAUACCUUUUAAAUUUAUUAUAACACAUUUUUUAUAUGACUCAUGCAUUAAUUAUAAGUUAUUAUGUUUUUUUCAUUUUAAAGAGUAUGUACAAUCACAAGCUUCAACAAUUACAACGAUGGGUGUUAGUACUCGUCAUGAUAUUUGAAUAGGUAACUCUUAAAUUUAAUAGAUCUUUUGGUUUCAAGGUAUUAUAUUUAUAAUUGUUUUACUUUUGGUUUUAAGUCAAUUGUAACAUGAUAAUUGAUUUGAUCUUAUGUUAGGAAAGUUGAAGUUGGUAGUUGGAAAGCAAAAGUUAAGGACUCAUCAAAGUGUGUUGUGAGUUUAAUUUGGUGUUAUUGUGCUUUUGGUUUGAAUAACUUGUAGUCUAUCUAAAUGUUUUUGGAUGAUAAUUUUUAUUUUGCUUUAUUUUAUUGUUGGAUGAUAUAAUGAUAAUAAUUAUUUUGUGAUUUUGUGUUGUUUAUUUAUUUGGAAACUUAGAGUAAUGUUUAAUUGUUUAUUUUGUGUUGUUUGUUUGGAGACUUGGAAUAAUGUUUAUUUUGUGUUGUUUAAUUGGAGACUUAGAGUUGGAGCAAAGUUUAUUUUGUAUUGUUUAUUUAGAGACUUGGAGCAAUGUUUAUUUUGUGUUGCUUAUUUGGAGGCUUGGACUUGGAGUAAUGUUUAUGCACCUAAAUUGUAAGAGCAUUACUAAUUAAAUGAAAUGGGAGUGUUUGUACAAAAUGAAUGCAUAUGAGAAUAUAAAUGGGCCGUUGAUUAUAGAUUAUUAGAUUUGAUUACUUAAAUGUUUUCAUUUUAAUGGCUUAUAUUUUUUUUUUUUUUUGUGAAUAGAAACUUUGUAUCGGCUUGUUUUCUUGGUAUAUGUCAAUGCCAUAUUGUCAAGGAAACAAUACAAUAUACAUUGUCAUUUGUCAGCUUGUUUUCAUUUUCUUUUUUUUAAUGGCUAAUAAUUUCCAUUAAUUAUAGAUUUCAUAAAUUUUUUGUGAGAAUUGUGAAAAAGGUCCAAAUCCGAUUUCAAUCCGAAUUAAUCUGAAUCCCAAAUAUAAUCUGAAUCUGAAAAUUAAUCUGAAAUCCAAACUCAUCCGAUCCGAAUCCGAGUAAUCCAAAAUUUUCAUCCGAUCCGAAUAAUUCGGAUCGGAUGAAAAUUCAAAUUGAAUUCGGAUGAAUUUUUUUUCAAUCUGAAUUAUCUGAAAUCCGAUCGGAUCCGAAAUUGCCCACCCCUAACUGUUGCUUCAGCUCUAGGCACUGGAAUUCUUAGAUCCUCCUUUCCUUUUUCAAAUAUAAAGAGGUUUCUUGAGUGCCAAUUGGCCCAACACAAAGACACAAAAAGCACCACAACUCUAGUGUUUCUCUUCUCUGCUAUUGCUUGCAUGACAGUUAACAAAUUUUGGUUCCCCAUACCAUCUAGAUCGUCUUUGAAACUAGUCUAAUUCCACACCUUUUGGGAGAACUUGCACUCUAUAAGUGCAUGAAAAAUAUUUUCACCUUUCUUUCCACAUCUUUAGCACCAUGGGUCUUGUAAAACUUUCUUUUCCACAAGUUUCCAGCCGUAGGCAAUAAGUCUUGGGCUGCUCUCCACAUAAACACCUUCACUUUCUCUAGAAUUUCCAACUUCCAUAUUGCAUUCCAUUCUAUUGGACUUGCUCUUGACAAGCUUGGUUGGUCUUUAAAUUUUAGGCUCAUUGCAACUUGGUACCCACUUUUAACAUCAUACUUACCUUGCUUAUCAUAAGCCCAUACCAUUUGAUCUGGUUUUUAAGUUCUUGGGAAAGGGAUCUUUAGAAUUUUCUCUGCAUCUUCAUAAUCAAAAUGUUGCCUAAUCAUGCUUUCCUUCCAUUUAUGCUCCUUGUCAAUCAAAGUGGAGACAAUAGAUUCUAGAGGUAAAUUUGCUUUGGAGAGAAUUUUGAAGGAGGUAAGUCUGGGGAUCCAUCUACUCUGAUAAACCUUCACCUGUUUCCCACAUCCAAUUUUCCAUCACAUCCCAUUUUGAAACACUUGUCUUCCCCAUAAAAUACUUCUCCAAAUGAAAGAAAGAUUAUAUCCAAGUUUAACUUGCAUAAAACUUGAAUUCUUAAAAUAUCUUGCUUGCAACACUCUGGCCAUUAAGGAUUCUGGGAAAUGAACCACCCUCCACCCUUGCUUUGCCACUAAAGCUUGGUUAAAGCAUGUUAGAUCUCUUAAUCCCAUACCACCCUUACCUUUUACUUUACACAAUCUGUCAUAUCUAGCCUAGUGAAUGUGUCUUUCUUUGAUCCCUACCAAAAAUAAACAAUUGCUUUCUGGAUAUCUAUACAAAGACCUAUUAGAAGUUUGAAAACACUCAUAGCAUAGGCUGGAAUUGCUUGAGCUAUAGAUUUAAUGAGUACCUCUUGUCCUCUACUUGAGAACAAUUUCAUGUUCCAGAUAGAGAUCUUGUUUAAAAUUCUUAACUUGAUGUCAUUGAAAAAAUUCACAUUUUUCCUCCCUACCAUGGAUGGUAGCCUAAGAGACUUUGCAUGCCUCGAAAUAACAUGAAGAUGAAAGAUGUUUUUUAUUGUGGCUACUUGAGUUGUAUGAGUAUUUCCACUAAAGAACAUUGAAGACUUUUCAAAAUUGAAAAUUUGGCCUGAUGCUACAGCAUAGCACGCAAAGAUAGCUUUUUGGUUAAUGCAAUCUUUAGUGGCGGCCCCUAUAAAAAUAAGACUAUUAUCUAUAAAAAGAAGGUGUAAGAUGGAUAGUUGUCUGCUAAAUUUUAAGCCAUGGAUGAAUUGCUUUGAUUUUGCUUGCAACAAUAAGUUGGAAAAAACCUAUGCACAAAGAAUAAACAAAUAUAGUGACAGAGGACAGCCUUGUCGCAGUCCUCUUUAGGGAUAAAUCAAACUCUUAGCUACUCUAUUUAUCAAAAUAGAAAAGAAAGAGGUUGAUACACAUCUCAUUAUCAAGUCCACCCAUUUUAUUGAGAAGCAUAAUCUAUGCAUGACACUUUUUAAAAAAAUCUCACUCUACCCUAUCAUAAGCCUUGUUAAUAUCAAGUUUCAAAGCUACUAACCCAUGUUUUUUCAUUUAUUCAACCUAUUUUAUGAAGGCAUUCAUAACCGAUGAUAAGGUUAUCAGAGGUAAGUCUCUCAGAAAUGAAAGCAUUUUGAGUAGGUGAGAUAAUAUAAUGUAAGAUUUGGUUUAGCCUAUUAACUACUGUUUUUUGCUACAAUUUUGUAAAUAACAUUACAUAAGCUAAUUGACCUAAACUCAGCUACUUUUCUAGGCUUUCCAUCAGGGCCUACUACUUUGGUAGGACACAUUUGAACUAAGGCUGUUGUGACUUCCUUUUCAGCAAAAGGCUGGUUUAGCUCUUCAUUCAUUUUCCCUAUCACCCUUUUUGGCACAUCCUAUAAAGUUGCAUUAAUUUGUUCUUGUGAGAGCCUUGAUGAUGAACAAGUUUGCAAAGUAAUCACAAAAAUUUCUCUCAACAUCUGCAACUUCAUUUAUCCAUUCAUCACGUUCAUCUAAAAUCCCUCAUAUCUUGUUUUUCCUCUUUCUAAAAGAGGCUUUUGCAUGGAAAUUUUUUUUUAUUUUUCCCCCUCUCUUAGCUAAUUCGCUCUUGACCUCUGUUUCCAAUAAAUUACCUCAUAAAAAAGAAAAGCAUUGAUUUGUCUUUCAAUGCCUUUAAUCUUAUCCCCAUCUACAUAUUGCAAGCCCUGUAACAGUAUGUUCUUUAGUUCAUCCAUUAACAGCUCUAGCUUUUUCUUAUGACCUCCAAACUCUUCUUUACUCCAAAACUUUAAGUAUGUCAUGGAAUCUUUCGCUGCUUUUUAAAAAUUCUCAAUUGCAUCUUCACUGUACCAUCUUCUUUGGUCUAACCACUCUCUUUUAACAAUUUGCUUGCAUUGGCAUAAAAGCUCUAGGAAUCUUCGUAAUAAAUACAUCUAGUGGAUCUCUUUUUAUACUUUCUUGCCUUGCCCUUUUUUCUCAAAUUCCAUCAUAAUUGGGUUAUGAUCUGAUGUCCAUGUUAUCAUCAUUUCUGCUGCAUUUUAAUAGAAGAAACUUCCCCAAGAUUUACUAUACUAAAAAUGAUCCAAUCAUUCCUCAAUUAAACCAAUUUCUAUCUCCUAUUCAACCAAGUAAAAGGAAGCCCUUCCAACCCUUAUCGACCAAAUCACAUUUUCUAAUUGCCUCCCUAAACUCAUGCAUCAUCCUAAUCUCCUUAUUGUUCCUUUUUUUUAAUUUGGCAAUAAAAUUUCAUCAAAAUCGCCAAAACACAUCCAUGGCAUGGAAGAAAGGCUAGCUAACCUCUUUAACAAAGUCCAUGUGUGGUGUUUCUACCCUCCCGAUGGGUGUCCAUAAAUUCUUGUGUACCUCCAAUAGCUUCCAUUUUCAAUAUACACCAUUGAGCAUCACGCCAAUGUGAUGCUUGUUGUAUGACUGUAUAUGUAAUGUGACAUCUAAGUUUCGUAACAAUGCCAAGCCACCCCUCAUACCUUCUCUACCAACUUCAAAACAGUUUUUCAGAUUCAAAUUACCGUUAAUUCUUUUCAUUAUUUUGGCACUAGUUUUGUCUCAUAGAAGAAAACUAUCCGGGGCUUAUAUUUUUUUAGAACAUUUUUAGCUUCACAGAACGUCCGGUCCUUCCCUAAACCCCAAACGUUCGAACUUAGGACUCUCAUGGCUAUCGAUGAGGCUGGUCACCAGCCUCUGCCAUUGGAUUUUCAAAAUUCUCAACUGCUAUGUCCACGUCUCCUUUAUACUUUCUAUUUAUCAUCUCCCACCUUAGCAUUUGCUUAGCUUUUGGUAAUGUAAAUGGUGGUUUUGUAAAUGAGUUGUCUAUUUUCUUUUUUUCUUUUUUCGCUUCUGGGCUUGGCUAAUUGGUUUUAUUUGUUGAUCUUUUUUGCUGCAGAAGGCUCGUGUUUUUUAAUCACUCUUUGGUAGCCAAUUUUAGCUUGAGCCCUCCAUUUUCUUCCUUUGGGCUCAACUUUAUAGAUCUCUGCUCCAUUUCCAUCCUCCCCCAUUAUAACUUCAGUUUGGGCCGAACGUUUGUCUGGACCUUGAUGCGGUUUCAUGCUUUGAGAGUGCCCCAAGUUUUUUACCCUUUCUCAUUCAUUUUUCUUUUUUUUUUUCCAUUUCCCCUUCUUGUUUUGUGCUUAAAUUUUGACUUUCUUUCUGUUGUUCUCCCUCUUUCCAAUUUACUCCUUCUAGCUCCUGAUGCCUAGUAAGAUUGACCUUACUAGUUAUUUUCUCAUAUGUUUGCCCAUUUAUAUUUAACAGCCUCGAGAAGCCCCCUUCUUGCAUUGAAUGCAUCUCUAUCUCUUUUGGAUUUCAGGUUUGGUUCGACACAUCUUUUUGACCCAGACUAUCUGCAACAUUUUUGCCUUGCAGUUUGGUAGUACCUAGGGGAACUAGAUUUGAAGAGGAUUCAGCUCUUUGCUCAUCUGUGGUUGUAUUCCAUUAUUCUUUUCCCCUGUGUUACUUCAAUUUAUCCACCAUAGUUGUAGCUUUAGUCCAUGGUCCAUACAGCAAAUCCUCUUUAGCUUGGUUUUUUAACUUUGUGCAUUCUCUGUAUUAAUGGUCAAUACAACCAUAGCAAUAACAAAAAUCAGGCAACUUUUCAUAUUGAAUUGUAAUUGGGACAUCUUCUUCUUCACCAUCUUUCACUACAACAAAAGAGAGCUUUAGCGACGAACAAUUUUGUCGCUAAAACAUGCAAUAUUUGUCGUUAAAGGCUAUAGCAAAAAAAAAAAAAAAAUUUGUCGCCAUAAGAGCGUCGCAUUAGUUCUUUGGCAUCGAAUUUUCAAAUUUCGUCGCUAAAAUUAUUUUAGCGACGAAUCUUGCUUCGUCACCAAAAGUACAUUUAGCGAUGAAUCAUGUUUCAUCACCAAAAGAACUUUCACAAAAUUUAAAAUCUCUUUUUUGAAAGAAAAUUAUUACAAAUGAAUAUAAAUUUCUUGAUUUUCUUCAUCUUGAUGUAAUUGGUCCUCAAUAUUCCCUACAAAUAAACACACAAUAAUUAGUUAACUUAAUAAACACAAAUUUAAUAAUAAUAUAAGUUAGAAUAAAUAAGAUAAGUAAAAAAAAUUACACCAUGUUCAAAAUAAAAGAAAAAGAAGUAGAGAUUAAAUUAGAAAAUUGUUCAAAAUAAAAGAGAAAAGAAGUAGAGAUUAAAUUAGAAAAUGAGAAUUAUACAUUUAGAGAUGAGAGAAUUAAAGAAUAAAAUUAAGGAAGUGAGAGAAUGAGAGAAUGAGAGAAUGAGAGAAUGAGAGAAUGAAAGAAAGAAUAAAAAAAUGAAGUAGAUGGUAUAUAAAUAGGUUACAAGAGUUUUUAGCAAUGAAAUUUAAAAUUCGUCGCUAAAACUUAAUUUUAGCGGAAAAUAACCCGACAAAUUUUUUUAAAUUUUGACAUAUUUUAGCAAUGAAAUAUUUCGUCGCUAAGAGUACACAUUCAGCGACGAAAUUCAAUUUCGCCACUAAAGGUCUUAAAUUUUGGCAGAAAAUCAUCCGCCAAUUUUUUUUUAAAUUUUCAUAAUUUUUAACGACAAAAAUAUAUUUCUUCACAAAAAUUAGUUUUAGCAACGAUAUUUUUUUUCCCUCUAAAACAUGGCCAUUUGAGACAUCAAAGAGUUUUAGCGACAAAUUCUAUUCGUCGCUAAAACUACUUAUUGCGAUGAAAUAUAUUUUCGUCACCAAAACAAGCUCUUUUAGCAUGUCAUAGAGUUUUAGCAAUUAAUAUAUUUCGUCGCUAAAACAAUUUUUAGCGAAAAAAUUUAUUUUCGUCGCCAAAACAUGCUAUGUGUAAAUAACUUUUUAACGACAAAAUGGCUUUCAUUGCUAAAACUAUUUGUGGUAACGAAAAAAAUUUCGUCACUAAAACAAUUUUUAGCGAUGAAUAGUAUAUCAAAUUUUAAUCGUUAAAAGUUUGGGUGCCAAUAUUUGUUUUGCCGCUUAAUUUUUUGGCGACAAAACUAAUUUUUGGUUGUUAUAUGUCGUCUUUAGUGACGAUUUUUUUGUCGCUAAAAGUGAUAAUUAAAUAUUAUUUUUCUAUUAUGACUUUAACGACUAAAGUUCUUUUUUGUCGCUAAAAAAUACUUGCAACGACAAAAAUAUUUUGAUCGCUAAAAGUUUCGUCGCAAAAGACCAAUAUUCUUGUAGUGUAAUUUCUAUUUAAGUGAUAAGAGGGUCAUUAGGGGCUUAAUAAUAUCGAUGGAUACUCUAAGUCUGAUGACUUCUCUAGUGCAUUCUCCGUUGGCAUCUGCUUCUUCAACUUUUCCUAUUCUUGCUCCCAACUCUGAUAUUGUUUCUUUAUCCAUACACAUAAGGGUACAUUCUUUAGUUGCACCCAAAAUGACGCAUUGGUAAAGGACUGCUUUGACACCUCUCCAAUACCCAUUGAUUCUCUGAAUACAAUAAGCGCACCAUUAAAAUGCCAAGGGCCACUUGCGAUUGCUCUCUUUUUAUCUAUUUCUGCUGCAAAUUUAAACAUGAAAAUAUUCUCUCCCAUGGCAUCUACCUUCACUUCCCUAAUUGUUUGCCAUGCUUGUUGCAUUGCUAGCUUCAAACCUUUUUUGUUUACAUUUCUACUUGUCAGCACUUUGCCCAUCAGACAUCCAGCGACUAUCCUCUCUCCUUUUGACUUCAUUUCACUUUUAAAAGAGACUUUUCCUUCCUCCCCCCUUUUAAAGUUAUAGCUUUACACUUUCGAAUCAACUCUUAUGUAUCCAUUUGGAGCUCGGAGAGGUUUUACUUAAGAACCACCCCCACUCCCUAUUUAAUGCUAUAUCAUUUAAGACACCUACCUCAACUGAGCCAACAAGAUUUUGUGUUUAUACAAACAACGUAUAUGGUAGUAAUAAACUUGAACCUAACGAGUAGGUAGAAAAGAGAGUCAUAAAGACUCUAUUCACCUUCCAUUCGAAAACUUGAGAAAGAAAAAACAUGUAAAGAGAGGUAGUUGAAGUGCUUAUAAACUCACAUCUCAAGCUUUAGGUUAAUAAUGUAGGAUUUAAUUCGUUAAGAUCCAUCCACUUUUUAAAAGGUAGUUGAAGUGUUUAUAAACUCACAUCUCAAGCUUUAGUUUAGUGAUGUAGGAUUUAGUUAGUUAAGAUUCACCCAUUUUUUAAAAGUGACCUUCACCAGUUCAUACCCUAAUUGUUAUAUGCACAUUAGAUAGAAUUCAUCCCAAAAAACCAACUUAUAAAGAGAAGGAGCCCAUAUACUUAUAAGCUCACAUGGCAAACCUUAACUUAACGAUGUGGAACUCUAUUAAAGUUGCUACAGUGCAAUCCUAAGAAAUAACCAAAACCCUCUUGGUACUUUGGUAUUCACAAUUCUUUUAAGGAAAGAAGUGUGCGAUCAUCUGAAGUCUUCAAAACUUGAGAAAAAAGUAGAAUAAAAAUACAAUGGAUUUUAUUCGAUUUAUUCAUCACACAUCAAAAUCAAUACAAUCAAUAAAAAUACAAAUUUAUUUAAACAAUCAAUAACAAGAAUAUCAAAUUUUCAUAAAUUGAUAGAGAGAGUGCAAAUGAAAGAAAAGAAAAAACAAUAUCAAUAAGGUUAAUUAAUUUUAAAAAUAAAUGAAAUUAGUUGAGAAAUAAGGAGUUAUGAGAUAAUUAAAAGGGGCCAAUACCGCCCCUAUUUAAAAAUUUCAAAACAUAGAAGAUGCUUCUCCGCUUUAUGGGCCUAAGCUAAGUUCACUUAUGGGGAUUAUCCGAUAAUUUAUAACUAGAACACGAUAAGCCAACAUUUGCCAAUAAUGUAAUUUAUAAAGCAAACUACAAAAUGUGUCCUUAGUUUAACAGACUAAUUAUUUCUAUGUUAUAAAAUAAAUCUAAUUAAAAAAACUUCGUUUAGAAAACAUUACCAAACGCAAAACGUUAACAAUACUAUAUAUAUACGGAGUUGGAUACAAAUGUUUAUUUCAAGUGAUGUGAUACUUAUUGGUGACUAGUAAAUAUCAUCAUUUUGCAUCAACUUCAUUGUCGUAUAAUUAAUAUAAUAACUAUAUGGACGGAGUUUCCUUAUAUUAUUUUAUUUUUUUACAUUAAAAGUAAGACUUAACAUUUUAUUUAUUGGAUCUGUUCAAUUAAAUGGUAGAUAAAAUGCUGACUUGAAUACUACUGAUUUACUCUACAUCUACCCAUUUGAUUGACGGAAUCAGUAAUAAAAAACUAGGUCAUAAAUUUGACGGAAUCCAGAAAUUAAAAAUUAAAUCUUGAUUUUAAGUCGAAAAGUUAAACUGAAGUUAAAUUAAGUGAACUCAACCUAAAUUUUAUAUUACCUUAUUUACAACGACAGGUCAAAUACUCUAUAAAGGUAAUUUACAUUUAAAUUUAAUUGGUAAAACAUUAUUUUAAAAUUAAUUAAAGAAAUAACGAUUACCAUAUCCGUGCAAAAAAUAUUAAAAUAGCAUUUCAGCAUCAAGAAUCAUGCAUGACACACGCGAAUACAUAGCGAAUAACGCCUUCCCCUUCUUUCUUAAUUGGACACAAAGAACUUAAGGUAAGUAGGUAACGUUCAUUAUUACACGCCAAUUUAUUUUUAAAAAUAAAUGUACACAUGUCAUGACAUUAUUUGUUUGGUGUAUAACUGACAUGGUAAUUCUGAUGUAUUCUAAAUUUUCUCCAAAACUUGAAUUAUUACAUUUUCUUUGAAAUAAAUUAUAGGCGAUCACCUAAAAUUUUUAUUGGAUUAAUUUUUAGUUGACCUAGUAAUUAUAAAAUAGUUAUAACCCUAGUGAAUUUCUUACUAGCUUGGAACUGAAAAUACGAAUACCUACAUAUACUUUUAUUCAUUUUUUAUUUGUCAAUAAUAAAAAAUAAAUAUAUAAUAUUUCGUUGACAAUCUAAGAUGAAGAAUAUACUAUGCCCGGCGUGGAAAUUAGCCGCUUUGCUCCAUCACCAUGCAUGGACAAAAUCACAUCACCCACUUGGGGAAGAAAGCCCAAACUCAUGCUUUUAUGAUAGAUAUUGAAUUUAAGAAUACUGCUUUGAAAUGUCUUGAUAAAAUAUAUACACUGCAGCAAAAGUGUGACCUUGCAUGUUAUCAUGUGAAAUUUAUAAGGUGGUCGAUGUCACAGCUGAGGUCAUCAAAAUUUCUCGCUUGUAUCCUACUCUCGUAUAUAAGUAGCAGAAGCAGAAAUUAGAUUUAUCACCAAAUAACCUUUCAUCAAAUUAUACAGCUUGUACUCUGUAGCAGCAAAACACACACAAUCAAAAUGAGCUGCUGGUGGAUAGUUGCUAACGGCGCUGCUAAGGUUAAAGAUCAUCAACUUUAUGUGAAAUAAUGCAUACAUGUGUGUAUGUGUGUGCGUAUCUAUAUAUUGUUGAUCUCGUGGAAGAUCCUCUUUAUUAAAGUUUAAAAAAGUUAUUAAACCGUGCAGUUGAAUAGUAUAAUGUCAUUACACUUUUAAACUAUAUGGUUUAAUAGCUUUCACAGUCAUUAUACUAUUAAAUCAUACUGUUUAAUAACUUUACCGAAUUUUAAUGAAUUAGAAUCUUGGAUUGAAAUAUUUCUAUAUAUAUAAAAAGAGAAAGAGAAAUAUUCCAAAACAAGAUGCUAGACUUUGUUAAAUUUUGAAAAAAUUAUAAUGUUGAGAGUCAGCUUCCAGUUUGGUAUGUCUUUACAACGUCGCAAACUCAUUUAUAAUGUUGUAAACACGUCCAUAUUAUAAAUUCUGGGAUUUCAAGUUGGAAAGCUUUUGUAUAUGUUGAUAUUUUUUUAUUUUUUUUGAGAAGGUAUAUGUUGAUAUUUUAUUAACUAAAAUGCUUAAUUAAUUUGUUCUUAAUCACUAGCUUGUACAAAACAAAUUGGAUGAAGGUGAGCCAUCUCGAGACAACCAGCACGUGGGGCUUAUAGUAGGCGUGACGGGAAUUGUGGGCAACAGCCUUGCUGAGAUUUUGCCACAACCAAAUACCCCCGGCGGCCCGUGGAAGGUCUAUGGGGUGGCCCGACGCCCGAGGCCCGCCUGGAAUGCAGAUCACCCCAUUCAGUACAUCCAAUGUGACGUCUCCGACGCAGACGAGACACAAGCUAAGCUCUCAAAACUCACCGACGUCACCCACAUCUUCUACGUGACGUGGGCCAGCCGUCCCACCGAACUCGAGAAUUGCCACGUCAACGGCGCCAUGCUGCGCAACGUGCUCCGUUCCGUAAUCCCCAACGCGCCCAAUCUCCGCCACUUCUGUCUCCAAACGGGAGGCAAGCACUACUUGGGACCGUUCGAUUAUUUUGUGGAGACACAGCUGCCUCAUCACCCUCACGACCCGCCUUACACUGAGGACUUGCCGAGGCUAAACGUUCCGAACUUUUAUUACGAUCAAGAAGACAUACUGUUUGAAGAAGUUGCAAAGAGAGAUGGCUUGACCUGGUCAGUACAUCGCCCUCUUGGAAUCUUCGGAUUUUCACCCUAUAGUAUGAUGAACAUAGCAGGCACUCUCUGUGUGUACGCAGCUAUAUGUAAGCAUGAAGGCGUCCCUUUACUAUUUCCGGGGACUAAGGAAGCUUGGGACGGCUUCACAGAAGUUUCGGACGCGGAUUUGAUAGCGGAGCAGCAAAUUUGGGCGGCGGUGGAUCCGAACGCGAGAAAUGAAGCUUUUAAUUGUGCGAAUGGAGAUGUGUUUAAGUGGAAGCACUUUUGGAAAGUGUUGGCGGAGCGGUUUGAGAUUGAGGAUUAUGGGUUUGAUGAGAAGGGUGAGAGAUUGAGAUUGGUGGAGAUUAUGAAAGGUAAAGAGAGCGUAUGGGAGGAGAUUGUGAGAAAGAAUAAGCUGCUGCCCACAAAGUUGAAUGAGGUUGCCAUUUGGUGGCAUGCAGACGUGUCGUUCGACGUUGGUGAGGAUAUUUUGGUUAGCAUGAACAAGAGUAAGGAGCACGGGUUCUUGGGAUUUAGGAAUUCAAAGAAUUCUUUCAUUGCUUGGAUUGAUAAGAUGAAACGUUACAAGAUUGUUCCUUAAAUGGUAAUGUUUCUUUCAUGGGCUUUUCUUUUUUUCUUUUCUCUCUCUGAGUCAGCGAAUAAGGUUUCUUUUUCUCCUUUUCUUCUUCCGGCCUCCUCCUCCAAGUGAGGGUGGCUGUUUUGUUUUCAUUGAUAAGAUGAAACGUUACAGUUUACUGCUGUAAUGUGAUCUCUGUUAUGGGUGCUGCUGCUCUACUGCAUGUACUGUUGUUAUUUGAAUUUUAUGAAAUCUAUCUUUUCUGUUUCAAAAAGAAUAAAAAGAAAAUUACCUGAAUCUUGAAUCAAUCCCAAGCUAGUAAUGUAUUACCAAUGUGGAAAGAAUAAAAAAUGUCUAUGUAGACCUUCUAUAUUUGAAAGAACAAAAAAUUUAUAUGUAGACCUUCUAUAUUUACGAACGUUGAACGUUCUUACUUUUAAAAUAUAGAUUUGGGACUUUAUUGUUUGUAAAUAUCGAAAUUAUAUUUAAAAAAUUAUAAAAUUCAUACCUAAGAAUAAUUAUAUAUUUUAUGUUCAAUAUAUCAGUAAAGAAGAUGACAGAAUUAUUUUUUCUCAAGUCUUAUAUGUAAGUCGUAAUAAUUCAGCUGUGCUCAGCUUGCUUCAACUUUUUAGGAACCUGUUAAUGAAAUAAAGCAAGCUUUAUUCAAAAUAAAUACAUAUUAAGCCUCCAUUUGUUACAUUGAAUAGAGUUUAUAGAAGUAAAAUUUUUCUAAGUAGAGCUUAUACAAAUAGGGCUUUUGAUAAAAAGUUAUUGCAUGUUUAGUUGUCAAUUAAAAAAAUUCCUUUGAACCAUUAAUUUAUUUGGUUCUACAAUACUAAAAAUAUUUUUAUGUAAUUAAAUUGUCAAAAAGAAUAUGUAAAAAAAAAAUUACUUCAUCUUUUCAAUUUGCCUUUGAAUUUUUUUCUCUUUACAGCAGUUGUCAUUAUAGAUAUCUAAUAUUAUCACAUAAAAAAUAAUGUACAAAAUAAAAGAAAGACGAAAUGAAUUUCUAAUAUAAACUAAUAAUGGGAACAUACAGUCGACUAAAAUAAUAAAAACAAUGGCAAAUAUCAAAUAUCAAAUAGUGGCACAGUGAAAUGUUCAUUAAUUUUCUAAUAAGUUAGAUAUAUUUUAAGUUUUUAACAAUAAUAAAGGAAACAUGCAGACGUGGAUUCUUAUUGUGUUGUUUCUAACUUUCUAUCAAACGGCGGCAAUGCGCUUGUUUCCAAUAAUUUUUUUUGCUUAGGGUUUUGUAUAUAAGUAUGGAUAUUGUGUAUUUAAUGAAAUAUACUUGGGAUAUUUUUUUUAUAUUACAUAUAUGUUAGAAGAAUUCUCUAAUCUUACUCCUAAAAUUCAAAUUUUGAAUUUUAUUAAUAGAGCGAAAAUAACUUAUUUAAGUCUCAUAAGUUCUAUUAAAAAAAACUAAACACAAAUAAAUAUUUAAAAAAAACUUAUAAAAUUAAAUAAUUAUUCAUAAUUAUUAAAUAAGUCAUACGAAAUAAAUAUUAAAUAAAAAAAUGAUUACUGAAAUUAUAUUUGUUAGUGACCGUUGUAUAUCAUCUUUUUUUCAACUUAAAAUCACAACCCAUUAUUUUAUUUUAUUGAAUCUAUUCAACUCAACGGUAGAUAAAUAAUGACUUAAAUGCUACUGUAUCCAUGAAUAAAAUAUUUAAAUAGCGUUUCAGCAUUGAGAUUAACACGCACGUGAGAAUACAUGACAAAGACAACUUUAUAUUAUGACAAUGUGAGCGCCGCCUUCAUUUUUUCCCCUAAUUGGAUGUGUUCAGGCAACGUUAUUUAUAGUAAUUUUAAUUAUAUAAUUUUUUAUUUAUAAUUCGUAAAUAAUUGUUUUUUUUAAAAAAAAAAAAAGAUAAACUGCUGGCUAUCACCCAAAUAAAAUUACGUUUGGGAGUUUAUUUCUCACUUGUGGACUUGAUUAUAAUUUUGUCCAAAUCGGUGGGUAAAUAUUCUUUUAAACCCUAUAGUUUCGGUUAGUUACUACAUUACCCUCUAUAUUUUUUAUAUUUACUGAAAGCUAUCUAGUGGGAAUCUAUCUAUGGUAAAAUCUACUCAAUUAUUUAACUUAUCUAUAUUCUUCACUUGUUCCAUAUAAAAUUUGUUUCAAUUUUAAGUUAUGCCAUUUUAAAUACUAUUUUCUCUUUAAUAAAUUAGAUCCAACACAUACAAUUUUAAGUUGUACCAUCUUAGGUUAUUUUUAAAAAAAAAAUUAAGGACUAACAAGAUAAAUAGCUCUAAUUAUAUAAACUAAAUGAAAAUUUACCCAAAUUUAAUAUUCGCCUUAAAUUUCUUUUUUUGAAUGAUGAAUAUUCCCUUUAAAGUUUAGACUAUUUCAUUUGAUAUUAACUAGUUUGGUAAUAUUAUAGUUCUUAAAAUAAUUACUAUUAGUUGUGUUGUAGAAAUAAUUAGUUAUAAAGAAAAUCAAUUAAACACAUAGCAAAAUGUAUUUUAGAAGUGUUGCGAGUUUAAAAAAAGUCAUAUGUAUUUGGUAAAUAAAUUUGUAAAACUGCUGUAAGAAUGUAAAUGACUGAAAAUAAAUAUAAUAUUGAAUAAAGUUUUAUUUAUCAACACAUUUAUAAAUAGGUAUAUAUAAUAUACUAGAAUAAAUACUUUCAAUUUUAUUUUAUUAUCUCAAAAUAAUUGGUAAUAACAAUAUUUUCUUUAAAUUUAAUGGUUUUAUUUUCUAAUUGAAUAAGGAUACUUUUGGAUUUCAUAACAUAAGUGAGGAUAUAUAUGAAAUAGUAUUAAAUAUAAAACUAAUUUUCAAAAUCAAAUUUGAAAAGUUAUUCAUUCCCUAUAUUUUAAAAUCUAUUUUAAGAUGAGGUGAUUUUACAAAAAAUAAAUUUUAAAAAUAUUUACGAAAUACCAAAAAUUAGUUAUUAAAUUUUCAAAAUCACUUUUGAGCAUCUAAAAGUUAAUUAUAAAUGACCCCCAAAGUCCAAUGAUUCCGGAAGCUUGGAUUGUUAUUUUCUCUUUGAAGCUUGAAAUAAAUUGUACUCACCUAAAAUUUUGAUUGGAUUAAGUCAGCUCACGGUUCAAUGUUAUAUUGAAUUGACCGAAUAAUAAUAAAAUCGUUUUAAAUUCUUUAAUCUAUAUCCAAUUGAAUUUCUUACUAUUUCGAAUUAAAAAUAUCUGUAUGUAUAUUUUUAUUCAUUUCAUUUUAAUUGUCAAAAAGAAGACAUAAAAUACACAAAAAUUGUGGAGACAACUAAGAUGAAGAAUAUACGAUGGCUCUCGUGGAAAGCAGCGGCCCCCACCAAGGCCAAAAUCAUACCACUCACUUCAAGAAGAAAGCUGAGACUCAUGCUUUCAUUAUGAUAUUGAUAAUAUAACAAAUAGCACUAGAUAAAAAAGAGUGCUGCUUUGGUAAAUAUUUUGAUCAAAUUUAUUGAAUCAAAAGUGUGAUCUUGCAUGUUUUUAAUGUGAAAUUUUAUCUUACAAUAAAUUUGUCUACCAAAUGUCAGGUAAAAUUUCACAUCAAUGCUAUAAAUUUUGAAGCAAAAUUUUAUUGAAACCCAAGAUUCUUGUUUGUUGAUAUAUUUGGGGACAAAAAGGGAUAAUAAAAAUUUGGGCGGUGGUAUAAUAUAAUUAAUUUAAGUUAAUUCUAUUAGAUUAUCACAACUUUAUUUUAUUAUUAUUUAACUUAACGGUAACUUAAUUUUUUUCUCAACCCAUAUGAAUGGUUCUUUCAUUUUUACAAAAGAAAAUUUACAAUCUUAAAUAUAUUGGCAUUAGAAAAAAGUACAAAAGAAUAUUUUGAUUAAUAAAGGUAAGAACAUAGUACAAGUAGACAAACUAUAUCCAUACUUAGAAAAUACUAAACAAUUACGGGGCUAGAUGUUAUAAACCUAUUAUCAAGAUCCGAUUCAAGAGUUCCAAAUGAUGCAUGAAUAACAUGUAUAGAUUAAUUAAAUAUAUCUUCUAAUUAUAAGGUAAUAUUUUUAGAUAAACACACACACACAUAUACAUACAUACAUAUAUAUAUAUAUAUAUCAAUUGGAGCUUCUAAGGGUGUAGCUGAAUAAUUUUCAAACAAUUACACUUAAUUGGUCACUCGGAUUUUCAAGCAAUUACACUUAAUUGAAUAUCCCAGGAGAGAAUGACUAAAAGAUGAAUUUUGACCUUUGUCUACUCAUUUAUUUUUUAAAAUAAUAAAGAAGUACGUGCAUUAAUUAAAUAUAAUUUUUAUAGGGUGUGUUUAACAUAUCAUAUUAAUAAAUUUUGUAUACACCAUAAUAUGAAUCGUUUCGCAUUAAAUAAAUUUAAAAGGAUUGAAAUAUUACUUUAUAUUUUAAAAUAAUUUAAUAUAAUAUAACCUAAAAUAAUACUACUAAUACCACAAUAUAAUAUGCAAAACGUAAUAUACUCUAGAAUCUCUUCAAAUUGGUCAAUCACUCGGAAGCUUCCAUUUGAAUUUUCAACCGAUGUAGCCAAAAUUCAAAAAAGUACCGCGUGACCCUAAUAUUUGCAUGUAUGCCCCACCUAUUGUCGCUCAUUUUACAUUUCCGUCCUCCCUUAUAUUUAAAAAACCAGCAAUAAAAGACUCAAAAAAUUGGCGUGUAAACAACCCUGCCCAGCGCAAAUCUAGCAUUUCUUUAGUUUCCCUCUCUCCGAUCCCACGGUUUUCCUCUCCUUCCUUCCUCUCUCUCUCUCUCUCUCUCUAAUUUUUGUUUUUUCUGCUCCUCAUUUUUUUUUGUCAAUUGAAUCUUUCAUCUCGAAUUUGAAUCUAGGGUUAGGGUUUUGAGGAUGGGCCAACAGUCGUUGAUCUAUAGCUUCGUGGCUCGAGGCACGGUGAUCCUCGCCGAGUACACUGAGUUCACCGGUAAUUUCACGAGCAUCGCAUCGCAAUGUCUCCAGAAACUUCCCGCUACCAAUAACAAGUUCACCUACAACUGCGAUGGCCACACCUUCAAUUACCUCGUUGAGAACGGCUUCAGUACGUUGUCGUUUUAUCUUACGUGUUCAUGUUCAUACGAAUUACAAGAUGGACAAAUCUGAUCUGGAUCUAUUCUUUUUUUUUUUUUUAUUUGGUUGACUUUUGUGUUCUCAUGGAUCCGUGUGUUUGACUUUUUUAUUCUGAUUUGAUAUUGCAUUUCUUGGUGAUAUAUAUCUUUAUUUAAUCAUUUUGAUGUGUUUUUAUAACCUAAUUGGAUUGGAUCAUGCAUAGAUCAUACGUAGUCUUAUAAUUCUCUUGCUGGUUAAUGAAGAAUUGAAGAUUUAGAAAUCUGAUGAUUUGUAAAUGAUUAAGACGUGGUGGCGUGUGUAAUCUAUUUUAUGAUUUGAAGGAUUAAUGUUUAGCAGAAGGGAUGAAACAGUGAAAUGUCGAUGGAUUAUUUUCAGUGGCUGAAGUUCCUGUGUAAAAUAACCAAUUACAAUAGGAAAUUCACCAGAGUUAUGUUUUCAGGUUUAGCGUGUGUAGCUAAUUUGGGGACAAGCAAAGUGUGUUUCUCUAUUUGGCAAAUGAUGAAUCCUCUCUUUAUGUUAUUAAUUUGAGAAUUAAUAUUUGGUGAAUAGUUAGUUGUAUUUGUGUAUUGUGCUUGAUACACGCACAUGAAAGUUUUGGUCUUAUUUGACUUUUGGUAGUGCACCUUCUUUUUUUGUCGUUUACUUUAUUAAAUUACGUAGUGGGCAAGUAGUUUGUUUAUUUAUUUAUACAUUUAGGGAAAUAAUUUUAUUCUUUGUGAAGGAACAACGGUAUUUUCUUUGUCUUUUAUGGAACCUUGAUCAGGUUUAAGUCAGUUGCUUCUUCUCAUGCAUUUACAAUGUUCUGUAGUAAACUAUACUUGUUUGUAACUUCUUAUGUCAGAAUAUGAAGCAAUAGUAUGGUUAAAUCAAGAUAAUCGGAGUUUUUCUUGUAUGGGGGAUAAUUUUUCUUUUAGUAUAAUGAUCUGGCAUAUUUAAACUCAUUGUCUCUAUGCCUAGUAUGGUUAAAUAAGGACAAUGGGAGAUUUGUCUUGUAUAGGGGAUAAUUUUCUUUUAGUUUAGCCAUCUGGCAUAUAUUUAAACUCAUUAUCUCUAUGCCUACUAUGAAUAUUAGGUAUUUGGUUUUAGUGCUUUGACUGCGUAGGAAAAUGUAGUCAUUCUAAACAAAUGUAACAGCAUUUUUGUUUCGCAAAUCAACUCCAUUACCUUUCUACAUAUGAGUUUAUGGUCUAGAUAAUAUUUGAUAUUUGAUAAUAAGAUAUUUGGCAAUCUUACUGGCACUUUGACUGACUUUGAUUUAAUAGUUAGAUUGAGACAUGGAAAUUUUUCUAGAUUUCUCGUAAAAUGAUUCUGCAAGUUUUACUUAUUCAGACAUGGAAAGAGCAGUUCUGAUUUGUACAAUCUUACUGGCACUUUGACUGACUUUGAUUUAAUAGUUAGAUUGAGACAUGGAAAUCUUUCUAGAUUUCUCGUAAAAUGAUUCUGCAAGUUUUACUUAUUCAGACAUGGAAAGAGCAGUUCUGAUUUGUAUGUACAUGACAUUGGUUGCUGAUUGAAUCGUCAUUGUCUUAACAGUAUUGAUCAGUUUAGUUAUUAUGCUUGUUGCAGUAUAAGUAACAUGUGACAUCAAAAUGUUAAUUCUGAAGCUUAUGGCUGCAGAUAUUUGUAGCUAUCCACCAGAUAAACAAAAGUUAUGGCCCAUGGUUUGAGAAACUUUAAGAGAAUUUUGUUUUUUUCUCUUUUUUUUUCUCAUUGUAGUGCUCAACAAUUUCCUUGUUUCUUGACUUCGUGUUGUUUCAGUCACUUGCUUCAGAAAUUAUCUGAAAUAAUAUUCAGAGGAUUUCGUAGUACCUGGUUUAAUUUGUUGUUAUUUAUUACCCAUCAUUUGUUGGUCAACUAUAGACAAUUGUGUUACUGUUUUGUUGAAAGUCUUCACUAUUUUUAUGGAUAUUGUAUUAACUAUGGAACUGGAUGUUUGGUUGCUGCAGCCUAUUGUGUGGUUGCUGUUGAAUCUGCUGGCAGGCAAAUUCCAAUUGCCUUUCUGGAGCGAGUUAAGGAGGAUUUCAACAAGAGAUAUGGUGGAGGAAAAGCUGCAACGGCUGUUGCAAAUAGCCUGAACAAGGAGUUUGGGUACUAUAUUAGUUCUCUUCAUUGAGGAGUACUUUUUUUAUUGUUAUUUUUUUACAUUUUUGUCUGCACAUUACAGGUCUAAACUAAAGGAGCACAUGCAGUAUUGUGUGGAUCAUCCUGAAGAGAUCAGCAAGCUUGCCAAAGUCAAAGCUCAGGUCUCUGAAGUCAAGGGGGUUAUGAUGGAAAAUAUUGAGAAGGUAAGGAGUAAGCUGCUGCUACAUACUUAGUAAUAGAUUUGUGAUUUGUCCUGUUCUCAUGCUUUUUCACUGAGCAGUUAAGUGACUUAAAUGGAUUAACACCAAUGGCUCUAGCAGUACAGAGUGUUCUUUUCUAAUAACAAAUAUAAUGUAUAUUUUGGUUGAGGAGAUUUGUCUGUUGUGCAGGUUCUUGAUCGUGGUGAGAAGAUUGAGCUGCUGGUUGACAAAACUGAGAACCUUCGGUCACAGGUUAAUCUGGCUGUAGCUGAUUGCUUGUUUAGGAGUUGAGCAAAAUGUGUGAUGUUAACUUUGUUUUGAAUUGACUUAUUGGUCUUGUUGCAGGCACAAGAUUUCCGACAACAGGGGACGAAGAUGAGAAGGAAGAUGUGGAUCCAGAAUAUGAAGAUUAAAUUGAUCGUUUUGGGUAUCAUCAUCGCAUUGAUCCUUAUCAUCGUUCUGUCAGUUUGCCAUGGCUUCAAAUGUUGAUUUGGUCUUGGAAAGUCCCUGGAAACUGUACUUUGCUGUCCCGCUGACAUGGUCGACUUGGUACAUUGGCCACAUCUUUUGAUCCUUGCAUCUCUCUCGCUUGUUUUUGUUUAAGUUUUUUUUUUUUUCCCCUCUUUUAGGUCAUCAUGCCCUUACUUGCCCUUGGCAAGGGAAUGAAUUUGUAUCUUUUCGAUUGCUUGUAUAGGUUAUAUGCUUGAACUCCUCGAAAUAGAUAAAUAUCUUAUGCUGCCUGCUGCUUUAUGUGGAUUUUAGUUUAAGAUGUAAUGGAACAAUAGUUGGAUACCUGCAGAAUUGAUCAUUCCUUUGGCUUUGUUACCUGAAAUUAAUUUCCAAUAAGAGAUUAGUCAGAGACAAGUUAAGCGAUAAGAAAAAUACACACUUUAAUAUAAUAUAUUUUGUCCAUUAGUAUGUUAAAAUUUGUGUUCAUGUGUUAACUUGUUCUUAUCAUAUUAAUGUAAGCAAAUCUUUAUUAGGAGACUAUUACACGUGUAACAAAAAAGGAAGAAAUUUUGAUCUUUUGUGGUGGUGCAGGCGGUUUGGGUUUGAAUUCAUCUUGAUAGGAGGUGGUGGUUUGAUUUAAAUUUGUAAUAAAAUAUAGAAAAGAAAAAUUAACCAUUUUCUUUUUUCGGUACAAGUACGCGAGUUUUAUUAAAGCGAAUAAAAGGAGGGUCUUGCAGAAAAGAAUAGAAAAUCGAGUGCCACGUAGUAAAGCCUAAAAAGGGUUCAUGAGAAACAAUAUUCGGCCCAGCCCAGCCCAGCCCAAAAAUUCAAUAGGGACUGGGGAGUCCUUAGGUGCAGAUGCAGGCUAUGCUCUUUGUAAAAUAUGAAUUCAGGCCUUUAUAUUUACAGCACUGUAAAAAGAGUGAGUCCAUUGUUCAUAAAGCGUAGAUUUGAGGAGAAUUAUUCGACACUUGCAAAGGAUUAUGCAAGAAAACAUAUGAAGUCAAUCGAAAUAUUAUCAUCGUUAUUUCGUGAACUUUUGGAAGGAUUCUAUUAUCAAGCCUCGAAAUUAUUGUCCUCUACAGUCCUUGUCAUUCUGAAAUGUCUCUUCUUCUCUAGCAGCAUCCGAAUAUUGGCCUUCUUUAGACACUGGCACGCUCAUUUUUUCUUCAUUUUCAUUAGCAGAGUUUUUCUGAAACUCUGUUUGGCUACCAAAACUCAAGGCUAAUGUGUGAGUGCAUUUGACUUUUCGGAUUGAAGGAUCAAACGGACCAAUGCUGCCAUUGAAGAAGUCGAAACUCCUCUAAAGCAAGUCUGCGAACUCGUCCAAUAUGAACAUGCUAAUAUCAUCUUGAGUCUAAAAAUAGAAGACAUAGAAGCCUUUUGGAAGAGGAACAAGGUACCAGUUUCCUUUGGGCUACAACUCACAUUUGGUGGGGGGGGGGGGGGGGGGGGGGGGGGGGGGGGGGGGGGGGGGGGGGGGGGGGGGGGGGGGGGGGGGGGGGGGGGGGGGGGGGGGGGGGGGGGGGGGGGGGGGGGGGGGGGGGGGGGGGGGGGGGGGGGGGGGGGGGGGGGGGGGGGGGGGGGGGGGGGGGGGGGGGGGGGAGU